UACGGAGGGUGCAAGCGUUAUCCGGAUUCACUGGGCUUAAAGGGUGCGUAGGCGGGCAAGUAAGUCAGUGGUGAAAUCUCCGGGCUUAACCCGGAAACUGCCAUUGAUACUAUUUGUCUUGAAUACUGUGGAGGUCAGCGGAAUAUGUCAUGUAGCGGUGAAAUGCUUAGAUAUGACAUAGAACACCAAUUGCGAAGGCAGCUGGCUACACAAAUAUUGACGCUGAGGCACGAAAGCGUGGGGAUCAAACAGG
rnacentral:rRNA from 1 species